GCGUGCCUAACACAUGCAAGUCGAACGGAGAAUUUCAAUAAGUUUACUUAGCGAAAUUUUUAGUGGCGGACGGGUGAGUAACGCGUGGGUAACCUACCCAUAAACCCGGGACAACCCUUGGAAACGAGGGCUAAUACCGGAUAAUCUUAAGAAGUGGCAUCACUUUUUAAGGAAAGGUGGCCUCUGAAAAUGCUACCGAUUAUGGAUGGACCCGCGUCUGAUUAGCUAGUUGGUGGGGUAAAGGCCUACCAAGGCGACGAUCAGUAGCCGGCCUGAGAGGGUGAACGGCCACACUGGGACUGAGACACGGCCCAGACUCCUACGGGAGGCAGCAGUGGGGAAUCUUCCGCAAUGGACGAAAGUCUGACGGAGCAACGCCGCGUGUAUGAUGAAGGUCUUCGGAUUGUAAAGUACUGUCUUUGGGGAAGAACGGUCGAUUUGAGAAUAUUGAGUCGACAUGACGGUACCCAAGGAGGAAGCCCCGGCUAACUACGUGCCAGCAGCCGCGGUAAUACGUAGGGGGCAAGCGUUGUCCGGAAUCAUUGGGCGUAAAGGGCGCGUAGGCGGAUAGUUAAGUCUGGUGUGAAAGAUCAGGGCUCAACCCUGAGAGUGCACCGGAAACUGGUUAUCUUGAGGACAGGAGAGGAAAGUGGAAUUCCUAGUGUAGCGGUGAAAUGCGUAGAUAUUAGGAGGAACACCAGUGGCGAAGGCGACUU
rnacentral:rRNA from 1 species